rnacentral:rRNA from 1 species
UGGGGAAUAUUGGACAAUGGGGGCAACCCUGAUCCAGCGAUGCCGCGUGAGUGAUGAAGGCCUUCGGGUUGUAAAGCUCUUUUGCACGCGACGAUGAUGACGGUAGCGUGAGAAUAAGCCCCGGCUAACUCUGUGCCAGCAGCCGCGGUAAUACAGAGGGGGCUAGCGUUGUUCGGAAUGACUGGGCGUAAAGGGCGCGUAGGUGGUAUGACAAGUCAGGUGUGAAAGACCCAGGCUUAACCUGGGAACGGCAUUUGAGACUGUCAUGCUUGAGUCUGGGAGAGGAUAGCGGAAUUCCUAGUGUAGAGGUGAAAUUCGUAGAUAUUAGGAAGAACACCGGUGGCGAAGGCGGCUAUCUGGAACAGAACUGACACUGAGGCGCGAAAGCGUGGGGAGCAAA